UGUCCUGAGUAUUUUACAUGAUACAUAUGGUUUUACUUAAAAAAUAGUGUGCCUCUCCAUCCUUAGUUCUUUUAUUGUCUCCAGUAUGGUUGGAACAGAGGGUGCAACAGAGCAGAAGUGCAGCUGGGGCAGGAUGCCUCUUGGGUGGACUCAAGUUUGUUUUAAUUGAAUCUAAAAAAAAAAAAAUCAUUUUCUGACACAUGGCAUGUGCCAUCUGACAGUGAGAAGAAAGCCUCAGAUCAAUGACAACUGAGAUGGAAGGGAGACUGUGGCUGUAUCUCCAGAAGGCAGCUCUUAACUAGGUGCUGACUGUCUAUGGGCAUGAUCACCUCAUAUAUUGAGUGCCUUGUGGGAAGUGCAGAGUUCCCUCUGCUCAUGCUGUAUUUAAGUUAUCUAUCAUCCCAGAAGCAAAUAAAAGGCUCUGGUCCAGCAUCAGAGGAGGUCUGUUCCACAUUCCACAGAGGAGGAAAAGAGAGUCCUGGACUAAGGCAGAAGCUGUAAAGGUCUUAGAACAAGUGUUUGGCCUUCUCUGUCUGCCUUUAGAAAGAUGCUCAAGGGCUCUCUGUCAGCUUGCUGUGGCCUCCUGUGCAGGGGGAUGUUAAGGAAUGCAUUCCAGAGGUGCCUCCUUUGGCUGCACAGGCAGCUGAUUUGAGCUGAUAUGAGAAAAUUGGGAAAGCUAGGGCAAAAGACAGCAAGCAUCUGCAAUCCGUGAUGAAGAUUUCUUACCAUUAAUGAGGACAAGAUACUCCUGGCCUGUUCUUCACUGAAACAAAUAUGAUUCCAAAAUGGACAUAAUCUUUAAUCCAGAGAAAGAUUCCUCUUUUUCUAAAGGAAAGCUUUUCCACACUGCUUUCUUGCCUUUCCUUGUGCAGUGUAGGAGAUUUAAAGAAUGGAAAUUGUGGGAUAUUUGCCAGCUCUGUUACAGCCUCUUGGACCUUGGGAAAACCAUUUUUUCUCCAGUAUUCCUUUGAGAAGUAAAUGCAAUGGUACAUCUGCUUUCCAUGUUCCUUGGGAGACUUGAUUGAUGAUUGUAAUGGGCUUUCUCAAUUAGAAUGCAAGGAAGAACAGAGUUUAUUACAGUAAUACCAGUUCAGGGGUCAGUGUAACCUUCUCUUCUUCCAGGGUGAAAAAAAGAUACUGCUAUAUCUUAGCCCUUCUCGGAUCAGUAUGCUCGGUUUGUGCUGAUUUAAAAUGUGUAGGCCUAUCUUCAUUGUAAAGAAGGAGGAUUUUCAGCUGCUCAUGAGAAAAAAACCCUCUGUAGAGUGGAUUUUAGAAAGUACUAAACAUCACUGGCUUUGUUUCUCGUUGUGAAGUGGAGGGUUGAUAGAGCUACUGGUAAGAAGUGGCAAAGCUGCACUGCAAUCAAGGGAACAAGGGAAAAUUUGGUGCGACUUGAUCCACAGCUCUCAAGGGUUCUAUUGCCAGAAUGAAACCAAGAAGAGAAAAUAGGGAAAAUAUAUGUAAAAAUUAGUAUAAAUACCUCCAAAAAUAGAUAUGUCUUUAUUGGAUAAUAUUAUUACACUAUUACAUUGCUGACAUAAUAACAAAUCAAUGAAAGGAACAUUAAAUAUUUUUUUCAAUGAAUAAUGUAGCAACACAUCAUGUAGAUUUAAAGUGUACUGACCUGGAUAUAUCAAGCUUAAGCAAUCAUUUCUUGGCUCUUGUGAGAUCAUUGCUUGACUCUGAAAUUAGAAUAAUUUCAUGAGUGUGUGGAAACAAGAAUGAGGUCACCUCCAUCUUAAUUAGAAAAGGAUAGAUCAAACAUCCAAGGCAUACUUUCUUGUUUGCUGUUGACUCACUCAGAUUGGUAUGAUAUAGUCCUGGGGCAGUAUUUUAUGAUAGCCUAUUUUGCUGCCUUAUGUAUCAUUUUUCUUUUGCCUUUCUUUCUGGCAAUAACAUAGGGUUAAUCAUGCUUACAAAGCUGUUAAAUUCAUUCUGUUUCUAUCUGAAAAAUGGAAUGAGGUGAGCAAAACAUUCAGAUAAAUAAUAUUUAAUGCAGGCUUUAUAAAAGACAGAGGUCUCAAUAAAAUUUUAAAUCCUUUUAGUCAGCUAUUCUUCUAAUUACUUUUUAUUUCUCCUUUGCUGGAAGAGCUUUCAGGCUUUGUACAAUGAACAUGUGGGUCUUUAUUUCACAUUAAUGUGUUCAAUAAAAUAAAAUGAUACAGUUGAGUAAUAUGGAUCACAAACUAAUUUAUAUAAACAUUGAUUGUUUCAGAGCACUGGAAAACUUCUUUGUCUUGGUCUGUAUGACUGCAUUUCAGUAGAUGUGGAAUAUACUUUGUUGUUAGGGGCAGGUUUAUAUUUUUAAAAAACACUGAUACAGAAGACAUUGAUUGACAAUUGG